UACGAAGGGGGCGAGCGUUGUUCGGAAUUACUGGGCGUAAAGGGCGCGUAGGCGGCCGAUCAAGUCAGAUGUGAAAGUCCUGGGCUUAACCUGGGGACUGCAUUUGAUACUGAUUGGCUUGAAUUCGGGAGAGGAUAGCGGAAUUCCCAGUGUAGAGGUGAAAUUCGUAGAUAUUGGGAAGAACACCGGUGGCGAAGGCGGCUAUCUGGACCGACAUUGACGCUGAUGCGCGAAAGCGUGGGGAGCAAACAGG
rnacentral:rRNA from 1 species